rnacentral:misc_RNA from 1 species
AGCCAUCCCUCGACCCGACUCCUUGGUAGAGUCUGGGUUGGAUUUGGACGUCUGCGGGGGCCCUCUCGCUCGUCUUUAAAUGCAUCAGCUGGCCCCUCACUUCGGGUCGGACCGAUCGACGGUGUGAUAAUAACAAAUCGAACGCCGUUUUGGCCCGACUUUUGCGUGGGGUCGCUUCUAACCCCGGUUCCCCUCGUUUUGGGACCGAUUCGACC